CCGCUGUGAUGACUUCUUAGGACACCUUUGGAUGAACACAUGAAAACAAACCACAUGAAUCUGAGCUGC